rnacentral:tRNA from 1 species
GCCCUGGUGGCGCAGUGGUUAAAUGCCUGUAUUGCAGCCAACCACAAGGUUCUGAGUUCAAUACCAGCCAGGGCU